GUCACGCCCCCCCCGGAGGCGGCCCCCGCCCCUCGAGGGUCCCGCGAGGUUGGGGAUUGAAGUCUGGGGGCUGCCGCCGCGGUCUUCCGAGGGUCGGGAGGACGCCGGCAGGGGCACGCGGGCUCCGUGCCCAAGUCCAGGAGGGCCCCCCCGAGCCGAGCUCUCUGCUAUGGCCUGGGGAAGGAGUGGAAGAUGGCCCAAGUCCUUGGACCCUUGCCACCCGCGUGGAACACCCAGAAGAAGAUCCUGGCUCCCGGCCUCAGCUUGGCCCAGCCCCCGCUGUUACAGCCAAUCUGGGGAAUGAACCAGCAGAUGGAAGACCUCGCUUGCUCUCUCUGUAGCUCUUUCAAGUAAAUAAAUAUUUUUUUAAAUCAUGAAA